AGUAUGUCUUUAUUAGCAGCAUAAGAACAAAAUAAAACAGAUGGAGAUGAAUCCUAUGAAGGCUAACUACAAGAUAAGAGGUUAGAGAGUAAAUGAGGAGGGGUAGAGUGGCUACAUAAUAGAAAAUGGUCCAUAAAUGCCUCUAGCAUUAGGUGAUAAUUAACUAAAACCUGGAUGAGUUGUGGAGGCAAGCCGUGCAGAUAUCUAGGAGAUAAUAAUUUCCUGAAGGGUAAUCAGGAAGUGUGAGCAUUCUGAGGUAGAGUAUGCCUAACAAAUGUCUUAUAAGACAGCAUAAGAAGGCUAGUGGGUCUGGAGUUCAGUGAAUGAGGAGACAAUGUUGAAUUCCCUGUGUCCUGGAAGUGAUCUUUCUUUCCAGAAUCCUUCUUCAAGGAAACUCAACUUCCACUUCUUUUUGGAAAAAGGGUGCAAAGGAAGAUGGACACAAUUUGAUUUCAUAGCUCAGCUACUGUGAAUACGCU
rnacentral:lncRNA from 10 species